rnacentral:lncRNA from 1 species
CAUGGUGCCUACCCGCUUUCCUCCAUGUGCUGGCCUGACACCAUAUUUGACACUCAUGUGCAUAUGGGAAACCGGGGCACUGCGGCUUUUCCUUGAGUCACAGAUGCCUGCCCCAGAACUGAAAGGUGACUCAAGAACUUUGCCUCUGUGUCUCCUUCAGGUGUUAACGUGGGCACGAGAGACAAGAGAGCUAACAUGGCAUGGGUCUCUCCCCACUUCCGUGCUCAGUCCUUAUGUGGAACAUGAAGCCCAGGCUGCUUGUCUGUAAUGUCCCAACCCCCCCUGGUUCUGGUGAUGAAUAGCGCUGCCUCUGUGUAGUCUGGAUCUACUGACACUGGGUACCAGGGUUUCCUUCUGUUGACUGUGAUUGCAGCUUUUUCUCUGACGGGAAGUCAGCAAGCCAGUUUGUGACUCAGUUCCUUCGUAUGGAGAAAAGUUUCUCUGCCUACAGUGCCAUGGGACUCGGAUAGAAAUGCCUAAGCUCUCCUCACCUUUAGUGUGGGUUUAUUUAAAAUAAAGUUUGAUGCUCCUAAUAAAAGCAAAUGUACAACUUG